rnacentral:rRNA from 1 species
UACGGAGGGUCCAAGCGUUAUCCGGAAUCAUUGGGCUUAAAGGGUCCGUAGGCGGUUUUGUAAGUCAGUGGUGAAAGCCCAUCGCUCAACGGUGGAACGGCCAUUGAUACUGCAAGACUUGAAUUAUUAGGAAGUAACUAGAAUAUGUAGUGUAGCGGUGAAAUGCUUAGAGAUUACAUGGAAUACCAAUUGCGAAGGCAGGUUACUACUAAUGGAUUGACGCUGAUGGACGAAAGCGUGGGUAGCGAACAGG